rnacentral:rRNA from 1 species
GCUACCUACGGGGCGCAGCAGUGGGGAAUAUUGCACAAUGGGCGAAAGCCUGAUGCAGCAACGCCGCGUGAAGGAAGACGGUUUUCGGAUUGUAAACUUCUAUCAAUAGGGAAGAAAGAAAUGACGGUACCUAAAUAAGAAGCUCCGGCUAAAUACGUGCCAGCAGCCGCGGUAAUACGUAUGGAGCAAGCGUUAUCCGGAUUUACUGGGCGUAAAGGGAGCGUAGGCGGCCUACCAAGUCUGAUGUGAAAUACCGGGGCUCAACCCCGGGGCUGCAUUGGAAACUGGCAGGCUGGAGUGCCGGG